AGGGUUAGGGUUAUGUUUGUAUCAUCGUUGUCGUUUGUCGUUUCAUUUCAUUGUUUGUUUGUCCUAGUAUUUUGCCUUUUUUGGAUUCAUUUGGAUUUUGUUGGCUGUUUUGUGUGUAUUUUUUAAAACUUCUGUUUGUCAUUUGUAAAUUUUAUAAAUUUACCACAAUGCAAAGUGAUUAUUUAAGGAAAUUAUUAAUGGAAACUCCGCAGAUGUUUUAGAAAGAUAUUCAUUGAAGCUGAAAAUAAUUGGAGAUUUAGAUCCAUAUACAAUUCAGUCAUCAGAAUUGGAUUUUACAGUGCAUUCCAUCAAUUACUGUUAUAAUGCUAUUAUAGAUAGACUGGUAGAGUCUCACAGUUACUGCUUUAAGCAGCAGAUGAAAGCAUACAAAAGCCUUCAGGCACAUAAAAGCCUUCACAACUGGAUUUGUUUUGAAACAUUGAUGUUUUGAUGAUUUCUAUAUUAUUGUUGGAAAGGUGAAAAAUUCCCAAAAAGCUAAUGCUAAACCGCUAGAUGCUUCGGUGAAUAGCCAGUUCCAAUGGCAUAGCAAAUGCACAUUGUAUGUGUAUGGCCAGUAAUAGUGAAAUUUGCAGCCAUAUUGCAGCAAUCUUAUUUGCAGCUGAGUAUGCCCACAGCAAGACAGAAGAAGAAGAACCCAAUGCAUGUACAGAUGUUACAGCUAUGUACAUUCUCUGGUGAAAAACUAAUGAGUUUUCAAGCUGUUCGGUCAGAGUGCUUGUUGCGCUCUCUAAACGAACUGAAAUAUAAGACGGCUUUGGCUUCAUGUUGCAGUGAUAUGAAAAUGGUUAGUCAUUUUUAAUUAUAAUGUACUUCUUCAUCAUGAGUAUUUAUGUAUAGGGUUUUUCAUUCACAGUCAUUUGUUUCGAGCUUCUGUCAUGUGUCACAUAAUAUUAAUAUUAUAUCUACGUCAUACGUUAUUGGUAUAUAUCAAUGAUACACACCAAAGACAUAUGGCAUAGAUAUAUUAAUAUUAUGUGACACAUGACAGAUGCUCGAAACAAAUGACAGUCGAUAAAAAGCCCUAUUAGUCUUUUAAGUGUGUAUUAUCAGAUAUCACAUGUAAAUUGUUUUUAUCAUGUUAAUUUGGUCAUUACAGUCCCUUAAUCAAAAAAUAUAUUUUUCAGGUGUCUGUGGAUCUUUUUGUAUGCAAAAAUUUGUAAUAAUUAUUUGAAAUCAUUUUGAGGAUUAUUAGAGUAUGAAAAUAUAUGUGAGAACACAUACUAUUAGGUAUAGUUUUGUCCUAUUUUUUAUCAUUCAAUAGUCUUCUUAAAAUUUAUAAAUAUAAAGCAGAUAGUUUUCAUUGAAAUUCAAUGUAGUGGGUCUUAUUUGUAUGUAUUCAUUUUUGACUAAAGGUACGAUUCCGAUAACGACUGCAGACAGCAACUGCAAACAUCAGUUGCAGUUCUCGGCGUUAUGGACGUUACUACUUUGCACUAUUUAUCUGUAUGAGACUUAUUCCGACAUCUGACUGCAACUGCUGUCUGGCAGAACGUCAGUUGCUAAUAAUUAUGCAAAUUAUUAGUGCAAAAUAAUGACGUCUGUCAUGGUGACAACUGUAACUGCCAUCUGCAGUCGUUGUCGGAAUCGUACCUUUAAAGUGUGUGGUAUAAUUAUAAUAAUUAUAUAUAUUUAUAUAUAUUUAUAAUUUGUUAAUAAAUGAUUUAUUAGUU